rnacentral:rRNA from 1 species
UAGGGAAUCUUCCACAAUGGACGCAAGUCUGAUGGAGCAACGCCGCGUGAGUGAAGAAGGUUUUCGGACCGUAAAGCUCUGUUGUUGGUGAAGAAGGAUAGAGGUAGUAACUGGCCUUUAUUUGACGGUAAUCAACCAGAAAGUCACGGCUAACUACGUGCCAGCAGCCGCGGUAAUCGUAGGUGGCAAGCGUUGUCCGGAUUUAUUGGGCGUAAAGCGAGCGCAGGCGGAAGAAUAAGUCUGAUGUGAAAGCCCUCGGCUUAACCGAGGAAUUGCAUCGGAAACUGUUUUCUUGAGUGCAGAAGAGGANAGUAGAACUCCA